rnacentral:rRNA from 1 species
AAUUGGCGAAAGCCUGAUCCAGCCAUGCCGCGUGCGGGAAGAAGGCCUUCGGGUUGUAAACCGCUUUCGGACGGAAAGAAAUCGCACGGGUCAAUACCCUGUGUGGAUGACGGUACCGUAAGAAGAAGCACCGGCUAACUACGUGCCAGCAGCCGCGGUAAUACGUAGGGUGCGAGCGUUAAUCGGAAUUACUGGGCGUAAAGCGUGCGCAGGCGGCUUUUUAAGCCAGACGUGAAAUCCCCGGGCUUAACCUGGGAACUGCGUUUGGAACUGGAAAGCUAGAGUGUGUCAGAGGGGGGUGGAAUUCCGCGUGUAGCAGUGAAAUGCGUAGAUAUCAGCAGGAACAUCGAUGGCGAAGGCAGCCCCCUGGACCUGUACUGACGCUCAUGCACGAAAGCGUGGGGAGCAAA